AACUGGACAACCACACCGUGCACUUCUUCUAUAACGAGCACACUAAUGAUUUUGCCCUGUACACCGAGGCCAUUAAGUUCUUCAACCACCCAGAGAGCAUGGUCCGUAUCGCAGUCAGAACCAUCACACUGAACGUCUACAAGGUGGACAACCAGCACAUGCUGCACUACAUUCGAGACAAGACGGCGGUCCCUUACUUCAGUAACCUGGUCUGGUUCAUCGGCUCCCACGUCAUAGAGCUGGACAAGUGUGUUCA